rnacentral:rRNA from 1 species
UACGUAGGGCGCGAGCGUUGUCCGGAUUUAUUGGGCGUAAAGAGCUCGUAGGCGGCUUGUCGCGUCGACCGUGAAAGCUUGGGGCUUAACCCCAAGUCUGCGGUGGAUACGGGCAGACUAGAGGCAGGUAGGGGAGAACGGAAUUCCCGGUGUAGCGGUGAAAUGCGCAGAUAUCGGGAGGAACACCGGUGGCGAAGGCGGUUCUCUGGGCCUGUACUGACGCUGAGGAGCGAAAGCAUGAGGAGCGAACAGG